AGAGUCCUGAUGUGUUCGUUGUGUAACCUGAAAUUUUGACCGAACAUUUUUCCUUCGGGAGUCCGGAGUUUUCCAGCCGCGUAAAUGCCUCCAAGACGAGGACUUGCAAAAAGCAGGGAACAGGACACCCACCUGCUAAGUGCGGGUUCAAAACGAAGGCAUCAAAGCGACGGCACGAUUGGGACUCUU
rnacentral:other from 1 species